rnacentral:rRNA from 1 species
GCGCAGCAGUCGAGAAACCUUUACAAUGUCUUCACGGACGAUAGGGGAAUCCUGAGUGCUCUAGCAUUGCUAGAGCUUUUGCUUACUGAAAAAGGUAGGCGAAUAAGUGGUGGGUAAGACGGGUGCCAGCCGCCGCGGUAAUACCCGCGCCACAAGUGGUGACCACGUUUAUUGGGUCUAAAGCGUUCGUAGCCGGCCUGAUAAAUUCUCGGUGAAAUCCUGUGUAAAUCAUAGGGCGUGCCGGGAAGACUGUCAAGCUAGGAACCGGGAGAGGCUGAGGGGUACUCCAGGAGUAGGGGUUAAAAUGCCGUUAUGGUUUAACCCUACGGUUUAACAAUCCUGUAAUUCUUGGAGGACCACCGGUGGCGAA